AGCCCAACACCAGCUAUGACCUGAGCUUUUGUUCAGUGACACUGUGAUCUGAAAGAUUUAAUCAGUUUCCAAAAAGGCAAAAAAGAAAGCUAUAUCUGAAGUAAAAAUGCAACUGCAGCUACAGUAUAAGAUGAAGACUUGGGGACAAAAUCAUUGAAUGAAUUGAUCCUACUGAAACAUAUACCUCUUACAAGGUAUAUGUGUAAAGAGGAGGCGAGAAGCAGCUUUCCUGGUUCAGGUCAGCUGGAAAACUUUGAGGAGCUGGAUGUUCUACUGUCCUCUUUCCCUGAAGAGAUUUCAACAUACACCAAGACAAGCCCCAGACCACUGAACUUCAUGCUCUUCUGGCCUCGUUUGACUUGGGAAGUCUAAACACUACAGCAACUCACAGAUCGGGCAAGCAGCUUGACCUAAUUUUUACAUGAAACUGUACCAACACAAAUAUUCUUGUUACUCCUUUAUAUGUCUCUGAUCACUACUUUGUUCAAUUCAACAUUACUCUCCCAUCUAUAUUAUAACAGACUCCGCCUUUGGUUUCCUUUCACCAUAACUGUCGUUCUCUUUCACUCACACACCUUUCCACUGCUGUCUCUACCUCUCUUCCCUCACAAAACUUAUUUUCCACCAUGGAUGUAAACACUGCCACAAAUACAGUAGGCUCUACUUUAACAACCUGUCUAGACAGCAUCUGUUCUAUCUCCUCUAGGCCAGCACAUAUGACACCGCCCAGCCCCUGGCUCUCUGAUGUUCUUCAUGUUUCCACCAGAUCUCUGUCUAUCUCUUGCAGAACAAGCUGCUGGAUGACAAUCAAUCAGGCUUCAAUAGUGGACAUUCCCGAGACUGCCCUGCUGUAUGUCAUUGAGUCACUGAGACUGGAUCCAGAUCACCCGUCCUGAUUCUACUGGACCUUUCUGCAGCCUUUGACACAGUCAACCAUCAGAUCCUACUGUCCAUCCUCUCUACUCUGGGCAUCACAGGAACUGUGCUUGACUGGUUUAAGUCCUAUCUCUCAGCCCAACAACACGGUGCCUGCUCGAGUCUUGGCCUGAUUGGCAGAGAUCUCGGCCUGGAUGAAGGAACACCACAUGCAACUUAAACCAGCAAAGACUGAGCUCCUCGUCUUUCCAGCCAACCCUGCUGUUGAACACAUCAUCAUCAUUCAGCUGGGUUCAACUACAAUAAUGCCUUCCAAAAUGGUCGGAUAACCACUGAUAACUCAAUUUCACAGACCACAUCUCAAAGACAACACGAUCAUGUAGAUUUACACUCUACAAUAUCAGGGAAAUAAGACCCUUCCUCUCUGAACAUGUCACACAACUUCUUGUUCAGUCACUUGUCAUAAAUAGACAGGACUACUGUAACACUCUCAUUGCAGGCCUCCCUGCAUGCAAAAUUAGGCCCCUGCAAUGAUCCAAAAUGCAGCAGCACGUCUGGUCUUUAAUGAACAAAAGAGAGUGCAUGAUACACCACUCCUUGUCUCUCUUCACUGGCUGCCGGUUGAUGCACGUAUCAAAUUCAAGGCUCUGAUGCUGGCAUACUGAACAGUCACUGGGUCUGCUCCAGAGUACCUAAAAUCAUGCGGUCGGCUAAUGAGCAGCGCCUAGUUGUACCAACACAAAGAGGCACCAAAACACUUUCCCGGACUUCUCGGCUUCACUGUACCACAUUGUUGGAAUGACCUUCCCAACACCAUCUGUGAAGCAGACUCACUCUCUGUCUUCAAAAAACAGCUAAAAACUUUUCCAUGAGCACUUAACCAAGCACUCAUAAUUUGUUUUUGUUUUUUUACUAUAUAUUCUUAUUGUAUCUAAUCUGUCUUGGAUACUACUAUUCUGAUGCAAGGUUAUAAUAGUUAAAAAAUUUUAAUUUAGAUUUUAUUUCUAUUUCGUUUAAAAAAAUUUGCUCCAAUUUAGUUUAAUUUUCGUUUUGUUUGUUAGUUCUUUGUUAGUUUUAGUUUCGUUUUAGUUUUUAAAUAUUUUAUAGUUUAGUUUUACUUUUUCAUUACAUUUAGUUUUUAUUUUAGAUUUUAUAUCAAGUAAUACAUAUAGAAUGGGGAAAACAGGCAUUUGUGCAAUGUGGGUUGUAUUGCUGGACACCCAAAUGUUUGUAAAUAAAACUUAUAGUAUUAAAAAUCUUCAUUUUAAUAAGACCAACUGAAUUGCAUUACUGAUAUUACAGUAGAAGAAAACACAUUCUUUUUUAUUGAACCUUAACCACAAAGUCCUCUUUAGUGCAUUUGACAUGAGAAAGUAAAUCUUGUCGCAACUCUGAAAACUGAACAUCAAACAAAAUUCUAUACCAAUUCCAAAUGAAAUGUAAAACAAAUCACUGAUUG